rnacentral:rRNA from 1 species
UUACUGGGCGUAAAGACGCAUGCAGGUGGUUUGUUAAGUCAGAUGUGAAAGACCCGGGGCGUCAACCUCGGAAUAGCAUUUGAAACUGGCAGACUAGAGUACUGUAGAGGGGGGUAGGAAUUUCAGGUGUAGCGGUGAAAAUGCGUAGAGAUCUGAAGGAAUACCGGUGGCGAAGGCGGCCCCCUCGGACAGAUACUGACACUCAGAUGCGAAAGCGUGGGGAGCAAACAGGAUUAGACUACCCUGGUAG